rnacentral:lncRNA from 13 species
CUUUAAGAAAAAGCCAUCGUGCACAAUCCACAUAUAAGGAGUGGAAAGUUCUGCUCCACCUUCUUAAAGUUCUUGAAACAGCAAGACCAACUCUUCCUCUUCCUCCUUCUCCUCAGCCUACUCAACCAAAAGAUGAUGAAGAUGAAGACCUUUGUGAUGAAUCACUUCCAUUUGUGAACAACCUUAUUGAAAUGGAAGAAAGAAGAAAAUGGAUAUAUACUGGUUCUGUUACUGAUACUGUCUAAUCAACGGUCACAGAAAUCUUCAUAAGCAAUUAUCAUUCAACUUUUACGUCUGGGAAA